GGGGUGUACCAGAAACACUCUUGGGUGUUGUCUCUAAGUAUAAUGCUGGUGUAGAGUAAUUUAAGUGUUUAUUUUAGGAUGAUGGACUCCCUGAGUGUACAACGGUUGAGUGUCCUACUAUCCCGGCGGCACGUCGGUUUAGGUUUCGAUUCGUCAUUGGCUCGCUGCGCCUUCUCAUUGGUUGAAUCUAGAGACAUGUGACCGUUUGUCCUCUUCCACACUACGCGGCAAACUGUUUCGGCAGAGACGGUUGACUAGAGAGGAUCGAAUCAAUAUCGCCAAGGAAUUGCUCCGAGUGAACGAAGACAUUUUUGAACUUCACGGGAAUGUAAACAGGUUGGGAUAGUGACAUGGCCUCACUUUUCCUGCUGGUCUACCUCCUGCCACCACCUCCAAGUGGAAAGAAUGGAGCUGUCAAAAUCAGUAUCCGGGAAGCUGUGGAUCGUGUAGUGAAGUUUCACAGGGUAAUUGUAUCCUGAUAAUUUUUAUUUUAUUUUUAAAGGUCCCAUGGCAUGCCGCCAGAGCUUGUGUGUUGCUGAUGGAUGUCACAAUCUCUGUGUUUGCCAAUCUACUUAUCGAGUCUUGAAAACAAAAUGGCGUCGACGGGUGAUCUACUGAUGGUAUUGUGUGUAUAAAAUGUAAUUUUAUUUUUAAUAAACAAUCUGUACACAAA